GAUGAACGCUGGCGGCGUGCCUAAUACAUGCAAGUCGAGCGAACAGGCGAGGAGCUUGCUCCUCUGACGUUAGCGGCGGACGGGUGAGUAACACGUGGAUAACCUACCUAUAAGGCUGGGAUAACUUCGGGAAACCGGAGCUAAUACCGGAUAAUAUAUUGAACCGCAUGGUUCAAUAGUGAAAGACGGUUUUGCUGUCACUUAUAGAUGGAUCCGCGCCGCAUUAGCUAGUUGGUAAGGUAACGGCUUACCAAGGCAACGAUGCGUAGCCGACCUGAGAGGGUGAUCGGCCACACUGGAACUGAGACACGGUCCAGACUCCUACGGGAGGCAGCAGUAGAGAAUCUUCCGCAAUGGGCGAAAGCCUGACGGAGCAACGCCGCGUGAGUGAUGAAGGUCUUCGGAUCGUAAAACUCUGUUAUUAGGGAAGAACAAAUGUGUAAGUAACUAUGCACGUCUUGACGGUACCUAAUCAGAAAGCCACGGCUAACUACGUG
rnacentral:rRNA from 1 species